AUAAACGGCGAAACUNNNAAUGGCUCAUUAAAUCAGUUAUCGUAUAUUUGAUAGUACCUUACUACAUGGAUAACCGUGGUAAUUCUAGAGCUAAUACAUGCUUAAAAUCCCGACUUCGGAAGGGAUGUAUUUAUUAGAUUAAAAACCAAUGCCCUUCGGGGCUCACUGGUGAUUCAUAAUAACUUCUCGAAUCGCAUGGCCUUGUGCNGGCGAUGGUUCAUUCAAAUUUCUGCCCUAUCAACUUUCGACGGCUGGGUCUUGGCCAGCCNNGGUUACAACGGGUAACGGAGGGUUAGGGCUUGACCCCGGAGAAGGAGCCUGAGAAACGGCUACUACAUCCAAGGAAGGCAGCAGGCGCGCAAAUUACCCAAUCCCGACUCGGGGAGGUAGUGACAAUAAAUACUGAUACAGGGCUCUUUUGGGUCUUGUAAUUGGAAUGAGUACAAUUUAAAUCCCUUAACGAGGAACAAUUGGAGGGCAAGUCUGGUGCCAGCAGCCGCGGUAAUUCCAGCUCCAAUAGCGUAUAUUAAAGUUGUUGCAGUUAAAAAGCUCGUAGUUGAACCUUGGGCCUGGCUGGCCGGUCUGCCUCACCGCAUGCACUGGUCCGGCCGGGCCUUUCCCUCUGGNGAGCCGCAUGCCCUUCACUGGGUGUGUCGGGGAACCAGGACUUUUACUGUGAAAAAAUUAGAGUGUUCAAAGCAGGCAUAUGCUCGAAUACAUUAGCAUGGAAUAAUAGAAUAGGACGUCGCGGUUCUAUUUUGUUGGUUUCUAGGACCGCCGUAAUGAUUAAUAGGGACAGUCGGGGGCAUCAGUAUUCAAUCGUCAGAGGUGAAAUUCUUGGAUCGAUUGAAGACUAACUACUGCGAAAGCAUUUGCCAAGGAUGUUUUCAUUAAUCAGGAACGAAAGUUAGGGGAUCGAAAACGAUCAGAUACCGUUGUAGUCUNNNCCAUAAACUAUGCCGACUAGGGAUCNGNCGGUGUUAUUUCUUGACCCGCUCGGCACCUUA
rnacentral:rRNA from 1 species